rnacentral:ncRNA from 1 species
AAAUAUGAGAGUUUGAUCCUGGCUCAGGAUAAACGCUGGCGGCGCACAUAAGACAUGCAAGUCGAACGGAAGUCGUUAUAAAAAGGAUUGAAGAUUUAUCUGAUUGAGAUUUUAUAACAAUGGCUUUAGUGGCGGACUGGUGAGUAACGCGUGAGCAACCUGCCUACUAGAGGGGAAUAACAGUGAGAAAUCAUUGCUAAUACCGCAUAUGCCAUGAACAUCACAUGAUGAAAAUGGGAAAAGAGUAAUCUGCUAGUAGAUGGGCUCGCGUCUGAUUAGAUAGUUGGUGGGGUAACGGCCUACCAAGUCGACGAUCAGUAGCCGGACUGAGAGGUUGAACG